CUGAAUAACUGAGCCGAUCGCACGGUCCUCGUACCGGCGACAUAUCUUUCAAGUGUCUGCCCUAUCAACUUUCGAUGGUAGUUUAUAUGACUACCAUGGUUAUAACGGGUAACGGAGAAUAAGGGUUCGACUCCGGAGAAGCAGCCUGAGAAACGGCUACUACAUCUAAGGAAGGCAGCAGGCGCGCAAAUUACCCACUCUCGGCACGAGGAGGUAGUGACGAAAAAUAACGAGGCGGCGUCGCUGUGGGGCCCGCUAUCGGAAUGAGAACAAUUCAAAACCUUUAACGAGGAUCUAGCAGUGGGCAAGUCUGGUGCCAGCAGCCGCGGUAAUUCCAGCACUGCUAGUGUAUACCACGAGUACUGCGGUUAAAAAG
rnacentral:rRNA from 1 species